rnacentral:rRNA from 1 species
GACGAACGCUGGCGGCGUGCCUAACACAUGCAAGUCAAAGGGGGAAGGUUUCGGCUGACCUCCUUGGCGCAAGGGUGAGUAAUGUAUAGGUAAUCUGCCCUUUGGACUGGGAUAACCCCGAGAAAUCGGGGACAAUACCAGAUGACGCAGCGGGACCGCAUGGUACUGUUGUUAAAGAUUUAUCGCCAAAGGAUGAGCCUAUAUCCCAUCAGGUAGUUGGCAGGGUUAAAGCCUACCAAGCCUACGACGGGUAGCUGGUCUGAGAGGAUGAUCAGCCACAUUGGAACUGAGACACGGUCCAGACUCCUACGGGUGGCUG